rnacentral:rRNA from 1 species
ACUCAAAGGAAUUGACGGGGGCCCGCACAAGCAGUGGAGUAUGUGGUUUAAUUCGAAGCAACGCGAAGAACCUUACCAGGGCUUGACAUCCCUAGAAGUCCCACGAGAGUGGGAUGUGCCUUCGGGAACUAGGUGACAGGUGGUGCAUGGUUGUCGUCAGCUCGUGUCGUGAGAUGUUGGGUUAAGUCCCGCAACGAGCGCAACCCUUAUUGCUAGUUGCUAACAUUCAGUUGAGCACUCUAGCGAGACUGCCGUUGACAAAACGGAGGAAGGUGGGGACGACGUCAAAUCAUCAUGCCCCUUAUGUCCUGGGCUACACACGUACUACAAUGGCCGUUAACAACGGGAAGCUAAGCCGCGAGGUGGAGCAAAUCCCCAAAAACGGUCCCAGUUCGGAUUGUAGGCUGAAACUCGCCUGCAUGAAGUUGGAAUUGCUAGUAAUCGCGGAUCAGCAUGCCGCGGUGAAUACGUUCCCGGGCCUUGUACACACCGCCCGU